rnacentral:rRNA from 1 species
AGAGUUGUAUCCUGGCUCAGAACGAACGCUGGCGGCNNGCUUAACACAUGCAAGUCGAACGCUCCGCAAGGAGAGUGGCAGACGGGUGAGUAACGCGUGGGAAUCUACCCAAUUCUACGGAACAACAGUUGGAAACGACUGCUAAUACCGUAUACGCCCUACGGGGGAAAGAUUUAUCGGAAUUGGAUGAGCCCGCGUAAGAUUAGCUAGUUGGUGAGGUAAUGGCUCACCAAGGCGACGAUCUUUAGCUGGUCUGAGAGGAUGAUCAGCCACACUGGGACUGAGACACGGCCCAGACUCCUACGGGAGGCAGCAGUGGGGAAUAUUGGACAAUGGGCGCAAGCCUGAUCCAGCCAUGCCGCGUGAGUGAAGAAGGCCUUCUGGGUUGUAAACUGCUUUUAUCUGGGAAGAAAACGCCCCUGCGGGGGUAACUGACGGUACCAGAUGAAUAAGCACCGGCUAACUCCGUGCCAGCAGCCGCGGUAAUACGGAGGGUGCAAGCGUUGUCCGGAUUUAUUGGGUUUAAAGGGUGCGUAGGCGGCCUGUUAAGUCAGGGGUGAAAGACGGUGGCUCAACCAUCGCAGUGCCCUUGAUACUGAUGGGCUUGAUUUCAGUUGAGGUAGGCGGAAUGUGACAAGUAGCGGUGAAAUGCAUAGAUAUGUCACAGAACACCGAUUGCGAAGGCAGCUUACUAAAGUGAUAAUGACGCUGAGGCACGAAAGCGUGGGGAUCAAACAGGAUUAGAUACCCUGGUAGUCCACGCCCUAAACGAUGAACACUCGAUGUUAGCGAUAUACAGUUAGCGUCUAAGCGAAAGCGNUUAAGUGUUCCACCUGGGGAGUACGCCCGCAAGGGUUGAAACUCAAAGGAAUUGACGGGGGNCCCGCACAAGCCGGAAGGNAGCAUGUGGGUUUAAUUNCGAAUGAUACCCCGCAGGNAACCCUUACCCGGGCNUUGAAAGUUUACCUGAAAAAAAUCCCANANAAUGGAAUUCCNUCCCUUC